ACUACGGGAGGCAGCAGUGGGGGAUAUUGCACAAUGGGGGAAACCCUGAUGCAGCGACGCCGCGUGUGGGAAGACGGUCCUCUGGAUUGUAAACCACUGUCCCCAGGGACGAAGAUGACGGUACCUGGGGAGGAAGCUCCGGCUAACUACGUGCCAGCAGCCGCGGUAAUACGUAGGGAGCGAGCGUUGUCCGGAAUUACUGGGUGUAAAGGGAGCGUAGGCGGGACUGCAAGUUGGGUGUCAAAUCUACCGGCUCAACCGGUAGCCGCACUCAAAACUGCAGUUCUUGAGUGAAGUAGAGGCAGGCGGAAUUCCUAGGGUAGCGGUGAAAUGCGUAGAUAUUAGGAGGAACACCAGUGGCGAAGGCGGCCUGCUGGGCUUUUACUGACGCUGAGGCUCGAAAGUGUGGGGAGCAAACAGGAUUAGAUACCCUAGUAGUC
rnacentral:rRNA from 1 species